rnacentral:rRNA from 1 species
UGCCUGAGAUAUGCAAGUCGAACGUCUUUUUGCCGCAAGGCAGAAGGUAGUGGCGGACGGCUGAGUAACACAUAGGGACUUACCCCUUUUUGAAGGAUAGCCCAUCGGAAGGUGGGAUAAUACUUCAUGGUAUAGGUACCGUAAGGUAUUUAUUAAAGAGAUUAACUUCUCGAAAAGGGAUGGACCUGUGGCUUAUCAGAUAGUUGGUGGGGUAACGGCCUACCAAGUCUACGACGAGUAGCUGGCCUGAGAAGGUGGUCAGCCAGAGGGGGACUGAGACACGGCCCCCACUCCUACGGGAGGCAGCAAUCAGGAAUAGUCGGCAAUGGACGAAAGUCUGACCGCGCGACACCGCGUGUAGGAUUAAGCUCUAACGAGCGUAAACUAC